CCUCUGAUGUACUCAUUCCUGAUCCUUUCCAUCUUGGUCACUCCCAAAGAGAACCUCAACUAGACAUGCUAAAUCCUAAAAGUACUUAUUGCUGCAUGUCAUAGUCGCACUGUACCUUGAUUGUUUCCCUUUUUUUGUAAGUCACUUUGGAUCAAAGCUUCCGCUAAAAAUGUAAAUGUGAGUCCUAUGAAAAAUAGUGUAACAAUAUCUUAAUCAAAAGCUUGGGAGCCACUAAAGUUAUAGCGUACAAUUUGUGCUUCCAGAAGUUUGUGCAAAAGUCAGACCCUGGCAGAUCUGUUGUGUACUUGUCUGAGCACAGAUGUCUGUUGAGAUGUUUUUGCUGAAACCACAAAGGGAUGUUUAUUCAGAGGUUCUUUUAUCUGUCUACAUGUCUUGUCUAUACAGGGAAUGAAAUUAUUAUAAAUCUUACAAUAUUUUAAGAAGAUUUCUGAUAUUGCACGUCACCUGGGCAGCUUGAAUUGUAUAUUAUUACAUAUUAUAUUUGAUUUACCAAAUUUUUAUGAACAUGUGUGAACAUUGGCUGCUGUGAGACGGGCAUUACGUGUAAUUUCUUUGCUCAAGCAGAAGUUGUUCUAACUGCCUGCGCUCUCUCUCUCAGCACACAGUGUACUCUGACGCAGGUCAUUGACCCUGCAUUAGGUCAUUGGAGGCUUUCCAUGUUUUGUUUCACAGAGGAAAGAACAGUUUAGUAACAAGGAAAGCAUUGAGUCUGAAAAAAGGGGAGUGAUGUUCCCAGCAAGAUUCUCAUCUUAUAAUAGACGGGACGGAAGUAGCAGGAUAAAUACUGUGCCCUGCAGUGUUUACAUGACACUCCUGGCUUCAGUUCAGUUAACUCCUCACCUGAUCAUGACUUGACAUGCAAGUAUUUGUCUUCUUCGUUUCUCCUUUUGUGGUCUUCAUUAAUUCAGCUUGCAGCUGCUGCGACGUAAUGUGAGAGUGGAAUGAAAAGCUUUUCCCGGAAGGAAGUCAUCUCGUCUUGGAAAAUACACAAAGACCGUCGACCAUCAGCGACCGAACACUGUGCUUCUCUUAACACUCUGCGACGUUCCGCAUGUUAUUCUUUUCUGGGGUUUUUUUUUGUUAGCGUGCACUUCAGUAAUGUUUUAUCCUGCCGUGCACUGAGCACCUCCGUUAAAUCAUUUGUGAUUACAGAGUCUCUCACUUAUCCUUAGUGGUGUCUAACCAUGCAAAGUGUUUUAUUUGCUUAGUCUUGAGAUAUCUGUCUUCAGAUUUCAGCCUACAUCCCAACAUAACGUCCCUGCAAGAGCCAAUUAAAUGGCUGUUUGUCUUCAUCCUCGGCCAGGAGCACAGUGAAACCAAAGUUUCUAGCUGUUCUUUCAAAUUUUCUUUAUAUCUGCCAAAGUAAAGCAAAAACAAACAACAAUAAAAAACGCCUUCAGAUUGAGCGAGUUGAUCUCAGUGAGAAAGAAAAGUCUUGAUUCUUGUGGAAAAGAACAUCUUCCCGUCUGUCUUUGAUUGAAAUGAUCGGUGAACUAAACGAGCUGUUUGCAUGGAUGAGUUGUCUCCUCCUCCAUCCUGCUUCAGGCUUCAUAAUCAGUUCACCAUCAUGUGUCUUUGUUAUGAACAGGAGGCACCACACAGUAAGUCAAUAUUGGACUUUUAAUGUGAAACAGUAUCCUGAUUACUCUGAAUAGUUCCUACUGAUUAAAUAGUUCCUCUGAAACUUGACAGCGGUUGAGUUUUGGAUGCCGUGAGCUGCAAAAAAACCCAGAAAAAAUUAAGUUUUAAAGACGGAUAUUUAUAAAACUGAAACUCUCAGCGUGGUUCAAUCUGAUUAGUUUUAGGUAGGAGGCCAACAAAAUUAGCUUUUAUUCAUUUCCCCCCACACCUGCAAGACUUUCCAAGACGAAUGCGGAAACUGAAUUUCCGUGACGCGUUUUAUUGUUUUACACACUGUUCAGCCAGCUCCUCAUAUCCGAAUGCAAAUGUUCUUUUUUUCAUGCACAACUGAUAAGUCAGUGGUUAUUUCCUUCAUGCACAGUACAUUGUGGUACAGAUUGUGCUUAAGGCUAUGUGAAUAAAACAUUACAUUGUAACAUU